UAACUUGAAUAUUUAAAACUUUGUGGAUGAUUAAUUUAAAACUAUAGCAAGUUGUUUAAUUAAAGCUAAGUGCUGUGAGUAGUGUCCGGGGAAGAAGAUGAGAGACAAUGCACUACAAACACAAAGUUUUAUAGUGGUUCGGAGCUAACCCUUGCUCCUACGUCCACUCCCCAAGUCUCACUUGGGAAUUUCACUAUAACCCCCUUGGAUUACAGCCGGUUGUUUUGCAAGCUCACAACCAAACUUGUUGUUUUACGAGCUCACAACGAACUCGGUCGGUUUUCCCAGGCUCACCGACUAGAACCAACCCCGAUUGUUUUCC
rnacentral:lncRNA from 1 species